rnacentral:rRNA from 1 species
UACGAAGGGGGCUAGCGUUGCUCGGAAUUACUGGGCGUAAAGCGUGCGCAGGCGGUUUUGUAAGUCAGAUGUGAAAUCCCCGAGCUCAACUUGGGAACUGCGUUUGAAACUACAAGACUAGAAUAUGUCAGAGGGGGGUAGAAUUCCACGUGUAGCAGUGAAAUGCGUAGAGAUGUGGAGGAAUACCAAUGGCGAAGGCAGCCCCCUGGGAUAAUAUUGACGCUCAUGCACGAAAGGCGUGGGGAGCAAACAGGAUUAACGAA